GAUGAACGCUGGCGGCGUGCCUAAUACAUGCAAGUCGAGCGAACAGAUGAGGAGCUUGCUCCUCUGACGUUAGCGGCGGACGGGUGAGUAACACGUGGAUAACCUACCUAUAAGACUGGGAUAACUUCGGGAAACCGGAGCUAAUACCGGAUAAUAUAUUGAACCGCAUGGUUCAAUAGUGAAAGACGGUUUUGCUGUCACUUAUAGAUGGAUCCGCGCCGCAUUAGCUAGUUGGUAAGGUAACGGCUUACCAAGGCAACGAUGCGUAGCCGACCUGAGAGGGUGAUCGGCCACACUGGAACUGAGACACGGUCCAGACUCCUACGGGAGGCAGCAGUAGGGAAUCUUACGCAAUGGGCGAAAGCCUGACGGAGCAACGCCGCGUGAGUGAUGAAGGUCUUCGGAUCGUAAAACUCUGUUAUUAGGGAAGAAAAAAUGUGUAAGUAACUAUGCACGUCUUGACGGUACCUAAUCAGAAAGCCACGGCUAACUACGUG
rnacentral:rRNA from 1 species